rnacentral:rRNA from 1 species
GAUGAACGCUGGCGGCGUGCCUAAUACAUGCAAGUCGAGCGAACGGACGAGAAGCUUGCUUCUCUGAUGUUAGCGGCGGACGGGUGAGUAACACGUGGAUAACCUACCUAUAAGACUGGGAUAACUUCGGGAAACCGUAGCUAAUACCGGAUAAUAUUUUGAACCGCAUGGUUCAAAAGUGAAAGACGGUCUUGCUGUCACUUAUAGAUGGAUCCGCGCUGCAUUAGCUAGUUGGUAAGGUAACGGCUUACCAAGGCAACGAUGCAUAGCCGACCUGAGAGGGGGAUCGGCCACACUGGACCUGGGAACCGGUCCGGAUCCCAACGGGAGGCAGAGGUAGGAAUCUUCCGCAAUGGGCGAAAGCCUGACGGAGCAACGCCGCGUGAGUGAUGAAGGUCUUCGGAUCGUAAAACUCUGUUAUUAGGGAAGAACAUAUGUGUAAGUAACUGUGCACAUCUUGACGGUACCUAAUCAGAAAGCCACGGCUAACUACGUG